rnacentral:tRNA from 1 species
GGAGGCGAAACUCAGCUAUUUGGAUAGUGGGAGUUUGCGGUGCUGAGGUCGUGGGUUCAACUCCCACCGCCUCCACCA